rnacentral:lncRNA from 1 species
UCAAGUUCGAUCUCACCUGUUGCACGAAACUAAAUCAUAUUGUUCAUGGAGAUUUACACGGAUAUGGACCUCUGGUUGCGGCCUAUUUAUAUAUCCAGAAAGGAGUUUCAUCCAUGGCUGUACUUCCACUUGGUUAGUCUAGGCCUACCAUAGGUGAUUCCAACAGAAAAAAUACCAUAGUUAAUCCCAAAAUUCCUAAUCCGUGACUACUAAUUUGCUCGUCCUUAUCCCCAAUGGAGAUUCUAGCAUCCGGAGUCU